rnacentral:rRNA from 1 species
GGGUUGUGAGGUUAAGCGACUAAGCGUACACGGUGGAUGCCCUGGCAGUCAGAGGCGAUGAAGGGCGUGCUAAUCUGCGAUAAGCGCCGGUAAGGUGAUAUGAACCGUUAUAACCGGCGAUACCCGAAUGGGGAAACCCAGUGUGACUCGUCACACUAUCAUUAACUGAAUCCAUAGGUUAAUGAGGCGAACCGGGGGAACUGAAACAUCUAAGUACCCCGAGGAAAAGAAAUCAACCGAGAUUCCCCCAGUAGCGGCGAGCGAACGGGGAGGAGCCCAGAGCCUGAAUCAGCAUGUGUGUUAGUGGAAGCGUCUGGAAAGGCGCGCGAUACAGGGUGACAGCCCCGUACACAAAAGCGCAUGUGCUGUGAGCUCGAUGAGUAGGGCGGGACACGUGGUAUCCUGUCUGAAUAUGGGGGGACCAUCCUCCAAGGCUAAAUACUCCUGACUGACCGAUAGUGAACCAGUACCGUGAGGGAAAGGCGAAAAGAACCCCGGCGAGGGGAGUGAAAAAGAACCUGAAACCGUGUACGUACAAGCAGUGGGAGCACAGGUUUACCUGUGUGACUGCGUACCUUUUGUAUAAUGGGUCAGCGACUUAUAUUCUGUAGCAAGGUUAACCGAAUAGGGGAGCCGGAGGGAAACCGAGUCUUAAUUGGGCGUUAAGUUGCAGGGUAUAGACCCGAAACCCGGUGAUCUAGCCAUGGGCAGGUUGAAGGUUGGGUAACACUAACUGGAGGACCGAACCGACUAAUGUUGAAAAAUUAGCGGAUGACCUGUGGCUGGGGGUGAAAGGCCAAUCAAACCGGGAGAUAGCUGGUUCUCCCCGAAAGCUAUUUAGGUAGCGCCUCGUGAAUUCAUCUCCGGGGGUAGAGCACUGUUUCGGCUAGGGGGCCAUCCCGGCUUACCAACCCGAUGCAAACUGCGAAUACCGGAGAAUGUUAUCACGGGAGACACACGGCGGGUGCUAACGUCCGUCGUGAAGAGGGAAACAACCCAGACCGCCAGCUAAGGUCCCAAAGUCAUGGUUAAGUGGGAAACGAUGUGGGAAGGCCCAGACAGCCAGGAUGUUGGCUUAGAAGCAGCCAUCAUUUAAAGAAAGCGUAAUAGCUCACUGGUCGAGUCGGCCUGCGCGGAAGAUGUAACGGGGCUAAACCAUGCACCGAAGCUGCGGCAGCGACACUGUGUGUUGUUGGGUAGGGGAGCGUUCUGUAAGCCUGUGAAGGUGGCCUGUGAGGGUUGCUGGAGGUAUCAGAAGUGCGAAUGCUGACAUAAGUAACGAUAAAGCGGGUGAAAAGCCCGCUCGCCGGAAGACCAAGGGUUCCUGUCCAACGUUAAUCGGGGCAGGGUGAGUCGACCCCUAAGGCGAGGCCGAAAGGCGUAGUCGAUGGGAAACAGGUUAAUAUUCCUGUACUUGGUGUUACUGCGAAGGGGGGACGGAGAAGGCUAUGUUGGCCGGGCGACGGUUGUCCCGGUUUAAGCGUGUAGGUGUGUGUUCCAGGUAAAUCCGGUUCACUUUAACACUGAGGCGUGAUGACGAGGCACUACGG